rnacentral:lncRNA from 1 species
GGAAAAACAAGAGCAGUGUCAGAAGUUCAGAGGGUGGAGAGAACAGCUCGCGGUGACCGCUUGGGCUCUGAGCAUCUCACAUGGGUCGCUCUGCUCUGCCCCUGCUCUUCCAUAACCCGGGCUGGAAGCCAGCCCAGUGCUGAGAGAUGGAGGAUUAUUCAAGGGGUGAUCUCUGAGCAUCGCUGAGGAGCUCAGACUUCAGGAAAAGGCACUAUGGAAACAAGCUGAAUUUGUGCACUAGAA